rnacentral:tRNA from 1 species
UCCCUGGUAGUUCAGCGGUUAAGCAUCUGCCUGCCAAUGCAGGGGACCUGGGUUCGAUCCCUGGUCUGGGAA